GGGCAACAGUUUCUGAACAUGUGCCUUAUAUCAUACAGAACAAACCUUUUUGAUACACAGCCAAUUUACAUUGAUGGCAUAUUUAUAGUGAUGACAUAAUAUUAGAACUUGGAAGGGAGUACUUACUUAACCUGGAGACUCACAAAAGUGACAGAAUAUACACUAAAACUACCAGAUUACAAGACAUUGCAACUGGUUGUUCAGGGAAAGAAGCAACUUCAUGCCAAAUUCUUUUAUGAAGGGGGCAAAGGAAACUCAACAAACACACUUGGCACGACGACCACUAGCUACAAA
rnacentral:misc_RNA from 1 species